UACGGAGGGAGCAAGCGUUACUCGGAAUUAUUGGGCGUAAAGGGCGCGUAGGCGUUCCUGCAAGUCGGUUGUGAAAGCCCCGGGCUUAACCCGGGAAGUGCAGCUGAUACUGCGGGAAUUGAGUUCCGGAGAGGAAGAUGGAAUUCCCGGUGUAGCGGUGAAAUGCGUAGAUAUCGCUUGGAACGCCAAAGGUGAAAACAGGUUGCUGGGGUUGUGCCGACGCUGAGACACGAAAGCCAGGGGAGCAAACGGG
rnacentral:rRNA from 1 species